UUUGCUUAUGUAGAACUUUUAUUUGGUUGUUUGUCAAAAGCACGUUUUAUAAAACUAACAAAUACGCAUUUAAAUUCGUAUUUUUCGCAUUAUCUUGUUUCUGUGCCCAUUUUUUCAACGUACUCUAAAAGAAAUUCACGUUGAACUUGAAUGUAUAAUCUACCAUUCUUCUGCCACCUUGUAUUGUACUAACCGUGAUCUUCAAUACACCAUUUGUAAAUCAAAUGUAUGAAAUAUGUCUUAAUGUAUUGUUUUUCCCCAUUUAUCUCAAUCAAAACCUUUUGAAUGUGGUAAGUGCUAUUGGAUGUUCCUGGCAUAAUCUUUUAUUUUUUGUUUUUGACGUCCCAAUAAUGCAAGACACGAGCACCCUUUCUUUUAAUAAUAUUUUGUGUCUAUCAGAUUCAGUUGGCAAAACCCAAAUCAAGUCCUUUUAUUUAUCAAAGAAGAAAAACAAAGAAAAGAAAAGAAAAACUAAAUCCAUCCUUUUAUGAUUGUACAAUGAAUGAGUUGGUUGACAAAUUCAACACUGCAUACGACAAGCAUAGUAGAAGGGGAGGACGAACCGCGUUUUUCUGAAAGCUGCUCACUAUUGUCAGUCCACCUGCUUACUUGAUAUGGAUCAUUUUGUCUGCAUAGCACAUAGGAAGUUCAGGAAUCAUAUAGCUUUAGACCUUAGAAGGCAUGGCAAAAUAGGGUUGUGAAGAGUUUUGUUUUUCCAUUUGGCAUGUUGUCUUCUUCUGUUCUGUUUUUUUAUUUUUUUCUUUUUGGUUGGGGGUUUAAAAAAUGAUUUUGAAUGGGCAUAUAUGCUGUUAACUC